rfam:Sphaerulina musiva SO2202 unplaced genomic scaffold SEPMTscaffold_2, whole genome shotgun sequence.
GGCAAUGUAGCAAAGUGGUUACUGCGUUUGACUCGAAUCCCCUGUUUCGUGCUAUCAAAUUCCUUCGGGAGCGUAGGUUCGAGUCCUGCCAUUGUCG